rnacentral:rRNA from 1 species
CACGUAGUUAGCCGUCCCUUUCUGGUAAGAUACCGUCACAGUGUGAACUUUCCACUCUCACACCCGUUCUUCUCUUACAACAGAGCUUUACGAUCCGAAAACCUUCUUCACUCACGCGGCGUUGCUCGGUCAGACUUUCGUCCAUUGCCGAAGAUUCCCUACUGCUGCCUCCCGUAGGAGUCUGGGCCGUGUCUCAGUCCCAGUGUGGCCGAUCACCCUCUCAGGUCGGCUAUGUAUCGUCGCCUAGGUGAGCCGUUACCUCACCUACUAGCUAAUACAACGCAGGUCCAUCUGGUAGUGGUGCAAUUGCACCUUUCAAUCAAUUAUCAUGCAAUAAUUAAUAUUAUGCGGUAUUAGCUAUCGUUUCCAAUAGUUAUCCCCCGCUACCAGGCAGGUUACCUACGCGUUACUCACCCGUUCGCAACUCACAGUCUAUGGUGUAGCAAGCUACGGUAUAAACUGUGCGUUCACUUGCAUGUAUUAGGCACGCCGCC